rnacentral:sRNA from 1 species
UAUACUGUGUAACGGUUAUGCCACUCCC